UUUGGAAACAUAUCGUUCACAUCGGUGGAGAAAGAAAAGUUUUGAGUACCCAGAUAAUUUAUCUUGUUGUAUGCAUUUUUAACCUAGCCAUAUAUAUUAUGCCACAAGAAAUAAAACAAAAAACCUUUGAUUGUUGUGGGUUAAUCUUUGAAUCUAUUUCUGGAAUAUAAAUGCAACUUUGUACAGGCACUGUGUGGCCUAAUCUGUUAAGGUUAAUGUGUUAGUAAUUGAUACAUAAAAACAGUCUCUAGCAAAACCCACAGGUAUUUUAAUGCAGGAAAAUACAAACACUCAACAAGCAAAAUUAUAGAAAAUUUGUACACUAAAUAGCAUCUUUUUACAAAAUGUAACAUACAUAAUAAGAUAGGGAUCAUUUGACUUUUAAUCUCCUUAUAUGAUAAUUAUAUGACAGGUGUGUGCCUACAAAGAUGAUGUGUCUCAAAGGCAUCCAAAGAAAAUACAGGUAGCACAAAUGAGAUUUAAGGUUGAUUGUUCCAAAGAGAUAAUCAUACCUUUGCUAUGAAUCUUUGCUAGGGAUAUGUGGGUGUGACCUAAGACAAACCAAAAACCUACAGCGUUGUGUCUAUAAAAGCAGACCUGAAUUUGAGGUAGAGAGGAAAAGUGCAGGAGAGGCAAAUACAUUCCCUUCACUUGUACCUGUUCACUAAAUACAGUAUGAAGCUGAUCCUCUCAGUGAUUCUUCUCUGGACUGUCUUCAGCACAGCUGAAGGAAUCAGCUGUCGGCAUUGCACUAAUGAGGAUGAUCUGCUAUGCAGUUUUUCCUCUGUACAAACCUGUUCCGAUUCGGACAUAUGUUUGACAGCAUACAUCACUGAUGACAGUGCAAACCAAAGAAUCUACAGGAACUGUGCGCCUGCUAGUUUGUGUCCAGACGCCGUCGCUAAUUCAAUCUCCAUGAACUUGGGCCCCAAACACGUCUAUGCAAAUGUCAGUUGUUGCUCCACUGAUCAAUGCAACACAAACGAGUUAGAUUACCCCAACGUCCCAGCCAAAAACACUCUACGUUGCCUUGGUUGUGUGCCCAACACUGUGGACUGUAGUUCACCAGUUGAAUGCAGAGGAGAGGAAGACACCUGCAUCGAAGCAAUUGUUGUCAAACAGGGAGUUCCAACGACAUUUAAUGGCUGUGGAACUGCAAACGUGUGUGAUGCCACUGAUUUUAUGAAUAACCUGCCGUUCCUGGAGGAUAUUGGAUCAGUCUUUUCACCGUCAACCUGUAUAUUUGCCACGCCAACAACAACUACUGCUGAGCCAACAACAACAACAACGUCUAUCCCAACAACAACAAAAAUGCCUACGCCAAUAGCAACCACAGAAGAUACCACAAUCGAACCAACUACUUUACCAUGUCCCUCAAAUUUGACACUUCAAGAAUAUUUGGAGAAUAGUACAGCACUACUGCGCCAAUUGCACCGACUGUCAUGUCAAAUUAAAAAAAAGAUUACAAAGCCACAUGCACUGUCGCUGAUAAAUCUUCACCAACACCUGAUUUUGUACCAAACUAAACUGAUGGAGCAACAAAUGGCACUAGCCAAUCACCACGACUACAAUGUCCCACUAAUCUGCCAACAGAAUAUGGUUCUCAGCCACCACCAGCUGCUACUGCACCAAAUUCACCAGCACCUUCCACCCCAGUUGUACAUCCCUCAGCUCUUCAAUCAACAACAACUGGUCUACCAACUCCAACAACAGCUCCAACAGUACCAACAGGGGCUGAUGCUACACUUGUACAAUUACCCACUCCAUAAUUAUAACCUCCACUCAAUGUUCCCCACCGAGUAAAAAUUAACUUACCCCGCCUUCCCGCCAAUAUCAUUAAAUGCUCAAAAAGUAAGCUAUUGAAAUUGAUUGAUCUUUUCUGGGUAAUCUGGUUGAUUAUAUAACUUAUCUCAUUGUUUUCUGCUUCAUUUUUAAAGUUUAAUGCAAGUUCAUUUAGUAAUCAUUAUUUUUUAAGAUGACCUUGAAGCAUUGUUUAGCCAAUCAGUCGUGCGUUGUCUACAAUUACAGAUAAUAGAUUGUGUUUAACUACAUUCCAACUGUUUGUUUUCACGUCUUGUAAUUGUACCUAAAUGUUACUCGAUGGAUAUGAAAUGACAUGAUACACAUUAAAAGUUCUGCUUGAUUAAUUAAUUAAGUAUUAUUAAUAUUGUCUCACCAUCUACACCUGUUUUACCUGUACAGGGUCACAGGGGAUCAAAAUCAGAAGUGCUUUAUUUAUCCCAAGGGGAAAUUACUAUCAUCAUUAUUAUCAUCACAAUACCUGUAUAGACAGAAGACUCAAUGUACAUUUAUGAUUACAGUAAUGUUAAACAGUACAAAUAGGUGUUUGUUUAAAUUUCCAAGGACAGCUGAUAAGUUGCAACAAUGUAAAUGUGAAUUUACAUUCUGUCAAAGCACUCGAGCAAAAGAUCCAUGCCUGACACAUGGCAACAGGAACAAUAUUUUUAUAACCCAAACAAGGGCCAAUCUAUUAAAUCCCAGGGCCACUUCAUCUUCAUUUCAUCAUAUAUCAUAUAUAAGUGAUGAAGUGACCAAAAAGCGCAACAAUAUUCAAGCGACUCAUCGUGAAUUAAGCGACUAUAUAGUCUCUAAAGUCGCGUUCGGUGUGAGCGCACCUUUAGAAUAGGCUCAUAUUCCCCACACACUUGCAGGAGAACUUCUAGCUCCAUUGGGGUGAAAUAAAUCACUCUCUUCCGGCUCGUUGCUAUGGUAG
rnacentral:lncRNA from 1 species